GAUGAACGCUGGCGGCGUGCCUAAUACAUGCAAGUCGAGCGAACAGACGAGGAGCUUGCUCCUCUGACGUUAGCGGCGGACGGGUGAGUAACACGUGGAUAACCUACCUAUAAGACUGGGAUAACUUCGGGAAACCGGAGCUAAUACCGGAUAAUAUAUUGAACCGCAUGGUUCAAUAGUGAAAGACGGUUUUGCUGUCACUUAUAGAUGGAUCCGCGCCGCAUUAGCUAGUUGGUAAGGUAACGGCUUACCAAGGCGACGAUGCGUAGCCGACCUGAGAGGGGGAUCGGCAACACUGGAACUGAGACACGGUCCAGAGUCCUACGGGAGGCAGCAGUAGGGAAUCUUCCGCAAUGGGCGAAAGCCUGACGGAGCAACGCCGCGUGAGUGAUGAAGGUCUUCGGAUCGUAAAACUCUGUUAUUAGGGAAGAACAAAUGUGUAAGUAACUAUGCACGUCUUGACGGUACCUAAUCAGAAAGCCACGGCUAACUACGUG
rnacentral:rRNA from 1 species